rnacentral:rRNA from 1 species
UACGGAGGAUGCAAGCGUUAUCCGGAAUGAUUGGGCGUAAAGCGUCCGCAGGUGGCUAUGUAAGUCUGCUGUUAAAGAGCGAGGCUCAACCUCAUAAGAGCAGUGGAAACUACAUGGCUAGAGUGCGUUCGGGGCAGAGGGAAUUCCUGGUGUAGCGGUGAAAUGCGUAGAGAUCAGGAAGAACACCGGUGGCGAAAGCGCUCUGCUAGGCCGCAACUGACACUGAGGGACGAAAGCUAGGGGAGCGAAUGGG